rnacentral:rRNA from 1 species
AGAGUUUGAUCAUGGCUCAGGAUGAACGCUAGCGACAGGCUUAACACAUGCAAGUCGAGGGGCAGGCGGGGGUAGCAAUACCCGCCGGCGACCGGCGCACGGGUGAGUAACGCGUAUGCAACUUACCUAUCAGGAGGGGGAUAACCCGGCGAAAGUCGGACUAAUACCGCAUGAAGCAGGGAUCCCCGCAUGGGAAUAUUUGCUAAAGAUUCAUCGCUGAUAGAUAGGCAUGCGUUCCAUUAGGCAGUUGGCGGGGUAACGGCCCACCAAACCGACGAUGGAUAGGGGUUCUGAGAGGAAGGUCCCCCACAUUGGUACUGAGACACGGACCAAACUCCUACGGGAGGCAGCA